CUAGAGACCGGCGCACGGGUGCGUAACGCGUAUGCAAUCUACCUUUUACAGCGGGAUAGCCCAGAGAAAUUUGGAUUAAUACCGCAUAGCAUUAUGAAAUGGCAUCAUUUUAUAAUUAAAGUCACAACGGUAAAAGAUGAGCAUGCGUCCCAUUAGUUAGUUGGUAAGGUAACGGCUUACCAAGACUACGAUGGGUAGGGGUCCUGAGAGGGAGAUCCCCCACACUGGUACUGAGACACGGACCAGACUCCUACGGGAGGCAGCAGUGAGGAAUAUUGGACAAUGGGCGCAAGCCUGAUCCAGCCAUGCCGCGUGCAGGAUGACGGUCCUAUGGAUUGUAAACUGCUUUUAUACGAGAAGAAACCACCCUACGUGUAGGGUCUUGACGGUAUCGUAAGAAUAAGGAUCGGCUAACUCCGUGCCAGCAGCCGCGGUAAU
rnacentral:rRNA from 1 species